CACAUGCAGUCGAGCGGAACGAUCCUAGCUUGCUAGGAGGCGUCGAGCGGCGGACGGGUGAGUAAUGCAUAGGAAUCUGCCCGGUAGUGGGGGAUAACCUGGGGAAACCCAGGCUAAUACCGCAUACGCCCUACGGGGGAAAGCAGGGGAUCUUCGGACCUUGCGCUAUCGGAUGAGCCUAUGUCGGAUUAGCUAGUUGGUGAGGUAACGGCUCACCAAGGCUGCGAUCCGUAGCUGGUCUGAGAGGAUGAUCAGCCACAUCGGGACUGAGACACGGCCCGAACUCCUACGGGAGGCAGCAGUGGGGAAUAUUGGACAAUGGGCGAAAGCCUGAUCCAGCCAUGCCGCGUGUGUGAAGAAGGCCUUCGGGUUGUAAAGCACUUUCAGUGAGGAAGAAAGCCUUGAGGUUAAUACCCUCGAGGGAGGACAUCACUCACAGAAGAAGCACCGGCUAACUCCGUGCCAGCAGCCGCGGUAAUACGGAGGGUGCGAGCGUUAAUCGGAAUUACUGGGCGUAAAGCGCGCGUAGGCGGCUUGAUAAGCCGGUUGUGAAAGCCCCGGGCUCAACCUGGGAACGGCAUCCGGAACUGUCAGGCUAGAGUGCAGGAGAGGAAGGUAGAAUUCCCGGUGUAGCGGUGAAAUGCGUAGAGAUCGGGAGGAAUACCAGUGGCGAAGGCGGCCUUCUGGACUGACACUGACGCUGAGGUGCGAAAGCGUGGGUAGCAAACAGGAUUAGAUACCCUGGUAGUCCACGCCGUAAACGAUGUCGACUAGCCGUUGGGCUCCUUGAGAGCUUUGUG
rnacentral:rRNA from 1 species